rnacentral:lncRNA from 13 species
UUUCUUUGCAUGAUAAUUUUUAUUUUUAUUCAUUUUAUUGACAAGAUUAUAUAAAUAAAGAUUCAAUAUAAGCAAAUUUCCAGUGUUUGCAUUUCUUGUCUAACUUUUUUCUUUAUGGACACAGAGUUUCCCUCAAGUUGGCCAGGCUGGAGCACAGUGGUGCAAUCUUGACUCACUGCAACCUCCGCCUCCUGGGUUCAAGUGAUUCUCCUGCCUCAGUCUCUGGAGUAGCUGUGAUUACAGGGACCCAUCACUGGGGCUGC